rnacentral:tmRNA from 1 species
GGGGAUGUAAAGGUUUCGACAGGGGCGAGUGUGGUAUAGAUAGCGAGUCGGCGUUCCAUUGGGCCGUUAAACGGUGGGAAAACAUUUAAACGCAGAAGAAAAUUUUGCAUUAGCUGCAUAAGCUACGUCCCUCAUACUUGUGCCUACCAAGUGUGAAUGG